rnacentral:rRNA from 1 species
GACGAACGCUGGCGGCGUGCUUAACACAUGCAAGUCGAACGGUGAUGCUCCAGCUUGCUGGAGUGGAUCAGUGGCGAACGGGUGAGUAACACGUGAGCAACCUGCCCCAGACUCUGGAAUAAGCGCUGGAAACGGCGUCUAAUACUGGAUACGAAACUGGCCCGCAUGGGCAUGGUUUGGAAAGUUUUUCGGUUUGGGAUGGGCUCGCGGCCUAUCAGCUUGUUGGUGAGGUAAUGGCUCACCAAGGCGACGACGGGUAGCCGGCCUGAGAGGGCGACCGGCCACACUGGGACUGAGACACGGCCCAGACUCCUACGGGAGGCAGCAGUGGGGAAUAUUGCACAAUGGGCGAAAGCCUGAUGCAGCGACGCCGCGUGAGGGAUGACGGCCUUCGGGUUGUAAACCUCUUUCAGCAGGGAAGAAGCGAAAGUGACGGUACCUGCAGAAGAAGCACCGGCUACUACGUG